GCUGGGUGUGGUGGCUCACACCUGUAAUCCCAGCACUUUGGGAGGCCGAGGCAGGUGGAUCACCUGAGGUCAGGAGUUCAAGACCAGCCUGACCAACAUGGAGAAACCCUGUCUCUA
rnacentral:SRP_RNA from 1 species